GUGCAUCGAACUGCUGACGCUCCAUCCGCUUCAGUCUUUCCCCAAGUGAAUCUUUUCCUUGUGGGUUUUUGAGGUAUCCUGUUUUGCUUACCAAUGGAAUGGAAAUCGAUGGCUUUGUUAUGCGCAUCCACCUUGUCCCAAUAUGGGUGUGAGGUGGACGUGAGGCGAGCUCUGUGUUCCCAACAAGCCAGGUGUCUUAUCAUUUGGUUGUUGUGGCCCAUGGGGUCUUUGCUUGUUUUCUUGGAUACGGAAUGCUAUGUGUGGGCGUGAGGUCUUCACCUCAACUCGUCCGAACACUUUCUUUUCACUCAAAUGACUGCUGUGCCUGAAAUGAUCUUCCCGACCGAGGCCUCGUAAUGGGGCUUACCGGACGAGGGGGGAACAUGUGGGUGUCAGCAUCAAAGAGGAAAGC
rnacentral:misc_RNA from 1 species